rnacentral:rRNA from 1 species
AGUGAACGCUGGCGGUAGGCCUAACACAUGCAAGUCGAACGGCAGCACGGUAAGAGCUUGCUCUUACGGGUGGCGAGUGGCGGACGGGUGAGGAAUACAUCGGAAUCUACUUUUUCGUGGGGGAUAACGUAGGGAAACUUACGCUAAUACCGCAUACGACCUACGGGUGAAAGCAGGGGAUCUUCGGACCUUGCGCGAUUGAAUGAGCCGAUGUCGGAUUAGCUAGUUGGCGGGGUAAAGGCCCACCAAGGCGACGAUCCGUAGCUGGUCUGAGAGGAUGAUCGGCCACACUGGAACUGAGACACGGUCCAGACUCCUACGGGAGGCAGCAGUGGGGAAUAUUGGACAAUGGACGAAAGCCUGAUCCAGCCAUACCGCGUGGGUGAAGAAGGCCUUCGGGUUGUAAAGCCCUUUUGUUGGGAAAGAAAAGCAGCAGGUUAAUACCCCGAUGUUCUGACGGUACCCAACGAAUAAGCACCGGCUAACUUCGUG